rnacentral:tRNA from 1 species
GCCCCCGUAGUGUAACGGAUAACAUGUCGCGCUUCGGACGCGAAGACUGAGGGUUCGAGUCCUUCCGGGGGCA